AGCAGUAGCCGCGGUAAUGCGUAGGUGGCAAGCGUUGUCCGGAAUUAUUGGGCGUAAAGGGCUCGCAGGCGGUUUCUUAAGUCUGAUGUGAAAGCCCCCGGCUCAACCGGGGAGGGUUAUUGGAAACUGGGAAACUUGAGUGCAGAAGAGGAGAGUGGAAUUCCACGUGUAGCGGUGAAAUGCGUAGAGAUGUGGAGGAACACCAGUGGCGAAGGCGACUCUCUGGUCUGUAACUGACGCUGAGGAGCGAAAGCGUGGGGAGCGAACAGGAUUAGAUACCCCCGUAGUCCCUGUCUCUUAUAU
rnacentral:rRNA from 1 species